AGCAGUAGCCACGGUAAUACGGAGGGUGCAAGCGUUAUCCGGAUUUAUUGGGUUUAAAGGGUCCGUAGGCGGAUCUGUAAGUCAGUGGUGAAAUCUCACAGCUUAACUGUGAAACUGCCAUUGAUACUGCAGGUCUUGAGUAAAUUUGAAGUGGCUGGAAUAAGUAGUGUAGCGGUGAAAUGCAUAGAUAUUACUUAGAACACCAAUUGCGAAGGCAGGUCACUAAGAUUUAACUGACGCUGAUGGACGAAAGCGUGGGGAGCGAACAGGAUUAGAUACUCCCGUAGUCCCUGUCUCUUAUAC
rnacentral:rRNA from 1 species